UAAAAAACAUUAGGGGGCAAUUUCUUACGUUGGUCGGUGUGAUAACAUAUAGAACACCCAUAAUAUAUAAGUAUAGUUUAACUUUGAUACAUUUUCUGUAAAAAUCUCACCCAAGUAGAAACUCGUGGAUUCAAUCGUUGGUCGGUCAUCUAGAUGCUCCUUCUUUCACAGAUACAAAUAUGACCAUUUUUCACCAGAUUUUGGUUUACAAAUUGUACGGUCUAUAUAAGUAAUAUCUCAUCUACACUCAGAUUUGGUAUCAAUAUCAAUCAAAGUCUUUCUUUCAUACACUCUAAUAAAUUAAAAAUUGAGAUAUAUGCAGAACAAAUAACGGUUCCCAACUACUCAGUAAUUUAUUGACCAAUCAUAACUCAUGUAAGAGACAUUAGCAUGGCCACCAUCACCUAAGAGAUGUGUCAAAAGACCAGCUUUAUUUGCAUCCAAGUAAUUUAUUAUCCACUUUAACAUGUUCUUCUCUUGUCCGAAAUCCCCAGAGUACCUGCCAAUAUAAUUAUUUCUUGAGCAGAAUGCUAAAGAUUGCAAGUCGAAACCAAGGCUGCAGUAAAGCACAAACUGCUUACCACUUGAAAAUUGGAGUGAGAUGAAUCGUUCUCUUCUCCAAGUCCACUUCAAUUCCAUCAUUCUCAAAAAACUCUCUAGCUGCACAUCUCAACUCUUCUGCUACUCUAUAGGGUGAGAAAAACCUCACCUUUGGGCUCGACUUCGUGCCAUUACAAAGGCCAAAGUGAACUAACGGAUUCAUUUUUACAAGAGCAAGCUGCAUUUUGGUAGGAACAAGUGAAUCAUUAUUGGUAUGAGAAAGGAAUGAAUUGACUGGGAACUAGAAAAAAAUAAAUUAGAAAAGACACACAAAAGUUGUUGAAACUAUAGCAAUGGAUAAAUAUCUUUGCCUUCAAGUUUCAAAUAAUGAAUUAAUGAUGUGCAGAGUGGUACUUUUUUUUAAGUCAGCAACACCACCUUCCAUAUAGUGUCAGAAAAAUAAAAGUUCUAUAUGUCAUUGUUCAUUUGAAGGCUUGAUGGAAAGUAUAUAAAGAACAUGAUUUCGUCCCUAAUUUACAUGGUUGUUAACGAUAAGGGUUCAGUUCAACCAGCAUCAAAUUAUCCAAAACCUUAUGCACAGACACUGCUUACCUCUAAGCGCCUGUCUCCUGAGCCAAAGGGCUUGAUUAAGGAGUAUGGUGACCUCCGAUUGCUUCUGAGGAUUCCAUUUUUAAUAGCACUAAGAGAAUAAGGAUGCCCUCCAAUCAAGUAAUGGAACUCAGAGAAGGAUCUCCUAUUAAUCACACCUUCAGGACACCCGACUCUAAUGACAGCAUGGAUGAUCAUAGCAUUGUACAAAUUUAAGAAGAAGGCAAGUGUCUCGUUUUCUGAUAGUUCCAAUAGAUUCACCCGCUGCAGAUCUUGGGUCAUGUUUACAUACCUACGAAAUUCUUCACUUUUGCUAAUGGCCAGAUAAUCAAUACGUUUCCUGUCUUCAGAAGCAUAAGACUCAAGAAUAGCACACAUAAUCUUGGUGAGCCUAUCACACACUGCAGCUGCAGCCUUCGGUUCACUAUCAUACGUGGCACCACGGAAGUUAAAGCAUUUGGAGAUUAAGGGUUCGUGCUCAAUGAAUCUAUAGAAGUGGUUUCCCUCCUCGAAAUCAUUUUCCC
rnacentral:sRNA from 1 species